rnacentral:tRNA from 1 species
AGCCCUGACUGUCAGACUGCAAAUCUGGAAUCGGCCUUCGCCCGGGGCUU